rnacentral:rRNA from 1 species
GACGAACGCUGGCGGCGUGCUUAACACAUGCAAGUCGAACGGUAAGGCCCUUCGGGGUACACGAGUGGCGAACGGGUGAGUAACACGUGGGUGAUCUGCCCUGCACUUCGGGAUAAGCCUGGGAAACUGGGUCUAAUACCGGAUAGGACUCCGGACUGCAUGGUCUGGGGUGGAAAGCUUUUGCGGUGUGGGAUGGGCCCGCGGCCUAUCAGCUUGUUGGGGGGGUGAUGGCCUACCAAGGCGACGACGGGUAGCCGGCCUGAGGGGGGGACCGGCCACCAUGGGACUGAGAUACGGCCCAGACUGCUACGGGAGGCAGCAGUGGGGAAUCUUGCACAACGGGCGCAAGCCUGAUGCAGCGACGCCGCGUGAGGGAUGACGGCCUUCGGGUUGUAAACCUCUUUCAGCAUCGACGAAGCGAAAGUGACGGUAGGUGCAGAAGAAGGACCGGCCAACUACGUGCCAGCCGCCGCAGUAA